UACGAAGGGGGCUAGCGUUGCUCGGAAUCACUGGGCGUAAAGGGCGCGUAGGCGGCCAUUCAAGUCGGAGGUGAAAGCCCAGGGCUCAACCCUGGAAUUGCCUUCGAUACUGUCUGGCUAGAGACCGGAAGAGGUAAGUGGAACUGCGAGUGUAGAGGUGAAAUUCGUAGAUAUUCGCAAGAACACCAGUGGCGAAGGCGGCUCACUGGCCCGGUACUGACGCUGAGGCACGAAAGCGUGGGGAGCAAACAGG
rnacentral:rRNA from 1 species